UACGUAGGGCGCAAGCGUUAUCCGGAAUUAUUGGGCGUAAAGAGCUCGUAGGCGGUUUGUCGCGUCUGCCGUGAAAGUCCGGGGCUCAACUCCGGAUCUGCGGUGGGUACGGGCAGACUAGAGUGAUGUAGGGGAGACUGGAAUUCCUGGUGUAGCGGUGAAAUGCGCAGAUAUCAGGAGGAACACCGAUGGCGAAGGCAGGUCUCUGGGCAUUAACUGACGCUGAGGAGCGAAAGCAUGGGGAGCGAACAGGAUUAGAACCUACCGUGUCAGU
rnacentral:rRNA from 1 species